GGUGAACCUGCGGAAGGAUCAUAGUAAUCGUCUUUGACGUUCGCUUAUUCCGUUGUCCUCGGGACGUUAAGCUGCUCUGGUCGAGGAUAAAUGACCCCUCUGACCGAGGUAAAACCCGUCGCUCUGUGUUACCUCUGUCCGAGGCACACGUUAAAGAUCGUUCCGCGUUGUGAGUCUAACACCAGUUGUAUAAACUUUUUACAACCGGUAGCGAUGGAUCCCUUGGCACGUCAUUCGAUGAAGACCGUUGCAAAUUGCGAUAAAGUGAUGUGAUGCGCAAGUCCACCACUUAUACGUGAAUCAUCGAGUUGUUGAACGCAUUGCACCGCGCCCUAAUCCGGCUGCGGUAUGCCCCUUUGAGCGUCAUUGUAUUCCUUCGGGAGUCCUUUUUCCAAAGGACCCGAGUUCGGAGUCCUCGGUCCUCUGGAUCGUGUUCUCUUAGAUGCAUCGCACCGAUCGCCUGAUGGGUCUCUAAUGCCUAAGCGUGGAGUUCCUUCAGAGUCCGAGACGUGCUUGACCGGGUGUUGAGCUCGCGUCACCAAGUCUGCCUCACAAGCAGUACUACAACGCAUGACCUCAUUGGGGUAGGACAACCCGCUAGACUUAAGCAUAUUAAUCAGCGGAGGAAAAGAAACUAACCAGGAUUCCC
rnacentral:rRNA from 1 species